rnacentral:misc_RNA from 1 species
GAAUUGCGAUAAGUAGUGUGAAUUGCAGAAUUCAGUGAAUCAUCGAAUCUUUGAACGCACAUUGCGCCCCUUGGUAUUCCAUGGGGCAUGCCUGUUCGAGCGUCAUUUGUACCCUCAAGCUCUGCUUGGUGUUGGGUGUUUGUCCCCGUCUCCGCGCGUGGACUCGCCCCAAAGUGAUUGGCAGCCGGCGUACUGGUCCCGGAGCGCAGCACAUGUCGCGCAAACGAGUGCCUUGGUACGGCGGCGUCCAUAAGCCCCUCUCUCACGCUCUUGACCUCGGAUCAGGUAGGGAUACCCGCUGAACUUAAGC